rnacentral:rRNA from 1 species
GGGUUGUGAGGUUAAGCGACUAAGCGUACACGGUGGAUGCCCUGGCAGUCAGAGGCGAUGAAGGGCGUGCUAAUCUGCGAUAAGCGCCGGUAAGGUGAUAUGAACCGUUAUAACCGGCGAUACCCGAAUGGGGAAACCCAGUGUGAUUCGUCACACUAUCAUUAACUGAAUCCAUAGGUUAAUGAGGCGAACCGGGGGAACUGAAACAUCUAAGUACCCCGAGGAAAAGAAAUCAACCGAGAUUCCCCCAGUAGCGGCGAGCGAACGGGGAGGAGCCCAGAGCCUGAAUCAGCAUGUGUGUUAGUGGAAGCGUCUGGAAAGGCGCGCGAUACAGGGUGACAGCCCCGUACACAAAAGCGCAUGUGCUGUGAGCUCGAUGAGUAGGGCGGGACACGUGGUAUCCUGUCUGAAUAUGGGGGGACCAUCCUCCAAGGCUAAAUACUCCUGACUGACCGAUAGUGAACCAGUACCGUGAGGGAAAGGCGAAAAGAACCCCGGCGAGGGGAGUGAAAAAGAACCUGAAACCGUGUACGUACAAGCAGUGGGAGCCCCACCACCAAAGCAUUCUCUGGUGUUGAAGGCCCUGCAAAGCAGCAUCGCGGUGGCGGAGCGUCGUUUGCGACGCCCAACACACAAAACAAGCGGUGAGUGCUUUGGGGUGGGGUGACUGCGUACCUUUUGUAUAAUGGGUCAGCGACUUAUAUUCUGUAGCAAGGUUAACCGUAUAGGGGAGCCGAAGGGAAACCGAGUCUUAACUGGGCGUUAAGUUGCAGGGUAUAGACCCGAAACCCGGUGAUCUAGCCAUGGGCAGGUUGAAGGUUGGGUAACACUAACUGGAGGACCGAACCGACUAAUGUUGAAAAAUUAGCGGAUGACUUGUGGCUGGGGGUGAAAGGCCAAUCAAACCGGGAGAUAGCUGGUUCUCCCCGAAAGCUAUUUAGGUAGCGCCUCGUGAACUCAUCUUCGGGGGUAGAGCACUGUUUCGGCUAGGGGGUCAUCCCGACUUACCAACCCGAUGCAAACUGCGAAUACCGAAGAAUGUUAUCACGGGAGACACACGGCGGGUGCUAACGUCCGUCGUGAAGAGGGAAACAACCCAGACCGCCAGCUAAGGUCCCAAAGUCACAGUUAAGUGGGAAACGAUGUGGGAAGGCUCAGACAGCCAGGAUGUUGGCUUAGAAGCAGCCAUCAUUUAAAGAAAGCGUAAUAGCUCACUGGUCGAGUCGGCCUGCGCGGAAGAUGUAACGGGGCUAAACUGUGCACCGAAGCUGCGGCAGCGACGCUUAUGCGUUGUUGGGUAGGGGAGCGUUCUGUAAGCCUGCGAAGGUGUCCUGUGAGGGAUGCUGGAGGUAUCAGAAGUGCGAAUGCUGACAUAAGUAACGAUAAUGCGGGUGAAAAGCCCGCUCGCCGGAAGACCAAGGGUUCCUGUCCAACGUUAAUCGGGGCAGGGUGAGUCGACCCCUAAGGCGAGGCCGAAAGGCGUAGUCGAUGGGAAACGGGUUAAUAUUCCCGUACUUGGUGUUACUGCGAAGGGGGGACGGAGAAGGCUAUGUUGGCCGGGCGACGGUUGUCCCGGUUUAAGCGUGUAGGCUGGUUUUCCAGGCAAAUCCGGAAAAUCAAG